rnacentral:misc_RNA from 1 species
CGAGAACAUAGGCUUAGCACUUCAGUAAUUAAGAGAGUUGUUAUGGUCUUCAGGGUUUUAUGUGCUACUGUAUAAGAUAACCAAAAGAUAGAUUUUUGGCCUUGUAAAGAAGCCUGUGCCUGAACUUUAAGCAUUAGCAAUUGAGGAUCACUUGACAAACAAGGUGCAUGCUUGGACAAACCAGAUUGAUUCUGAAACACACUAUCUUAAAAUUACAAGUUAAAAUUGAAGACAGAAUAAAAUUUGAUACGGAAAUAAGGGAGACAGAUGCGAAAGAGGGAACUUCAAAUGCCUCGUGGACUGUAAAAUUUUCUUAAGCAUAGAGUAACAAGAGGUAUCCAUAGCUAGUUAAACCCUUGAUUGCACAAGGCAAAGAAACAAGCUAUGAAAUAUUGAGAUUAUUGAGUGUCGAAAGGAUGGAAACUCUCUGAUAGGUGUGACCCAGGGAGUAAAUGGGUGCUAUGGGCAUAUCGCAUUUGUCUGGGAUCGAACCCCAUCAGCUUUGUCUCAGCUUGAAACCUUGUCACUGGCAUGAAGGAAUCUGAGGCGCGACGCAUUCGUGGAUCAAAACUUGCCUUAUCAUUUGUUUUGUAAGCAUCUCCUGCAACUCUUGCAGCCUUGUGGCUAUUACACCCUAACAAAUUGCUGGAACGGCGCCUUGGGGUGUCUUCACUAUUUCCAGAUCUUGCAUUUACGGUUGUAAGAAAGGUUUUGACAGGACUUGAUACUGUUGCGGGUGGCCUUAGCUCAUCAUAAUCGGACAUUACAGAGAAGUCAGCAGCACUGGCAGUGACCACACUCCACUCUAUGCUAGCCUCGCUUGGUGCAUAGCAAUUUGUUGGGGUGAGAUAGCCAGAGAUGACAUCUGAUCCUUGUCUUGGAAGAAAUGGCUCAACUUUUCCAGUCAGGCUCUCAAUCUCGAAUAAGUCUGAACUUGCAUCGCUCUCAUUAUCAUUGUAAACUCCAACCGAUGCAGCAGAAUAAUCGAUUUCCUCCAUUCUCGGAGCUGCAUCCCAAGACAACAUGGAUAGCCUCCUCUCAAUUUUGAAGGACUUGCUUCUCUUGUCAUGUACUGGGGAUCCAAAGACCUCCAGUGAUUUCCGUGGCUUUAUUGCUUCCUCUUGUCGAAGUUGCAAUUUUUUGGGUAGAAUUCCUGCCUCAGAAUUUGAAGUUGGGAAAGUAAAACAGUUUUCUUUGUUCAUUCCAAUUCCCAACUUCUCCAAAUUCUGGCAAUGGAUCUCCUCCUCGACCCGUGAUCCUGAGCGUGGUUUAUGAUCCAGAUCAAGACUAGCCUUAAUGAGUUCUUCUGUAAUCACCUUGCCUUGAAGAAUAUCAGUAUUAGGACUUUUCUUGAAACUGAUCUCACCAAAAUGUUCAUCAUCAACAUCAAUAGAAUCCUUAUCAGAACAAGAGCAUUUGCAGCCAAGGCCAGCAAGAAUAUUCUUUCCAAUCUUUCCAUGCACCUUGCUUGUCUUUGUUUGUGAAGUCUUUCUGUGAACGCUUCGCAGCAACGCGCUCUGGCUGUUCCUACUGGAUUCAGAAUAAAUACUCGAAGUUGCAGAAUGAACUUUGGGUUUUAUAGGGACCAUAUGAUCAUUUAAUUGUUCAUCUUUCUUUGGUGGAAGGUGGUAUUUUCUCGGAGUUAUAUUGUUGGAAAUUCUUGGACUGUCCUCAUCUAUCCCUCCAUUGAAGUAUUUCUCAGCACCGAAUACACCAAUUUCUCCAUCUUCUUUAUUUUGUCCAACGUAAUGAUGAUCCUCUACAUCCUGAGCACUAACAUUUUGAUUCGAUUCUGCAAGUUUCCGAACGAAGAUAUCCUCUGAGUUGCUCAGGAAGGAAGAGAAGGAAACAUCACGAAGGUUGUUUUCCAAGGACGAUGCUUGUGUGAAUCUAGCAGCUGAGGUAAAGGUGGCCAUAGCCAUGAAGUCUUGCAAAUAAAUUGUGCUUCACACAAAAUGACACUAGAAAGUAAUGUGUAGAAGCAGGAAAAAACUCAAUAGGAAGCACACAAAGUUACAAAAAGGAAAACGAGAAGGACCCAACAACACAAAAGAGUUUAGAACUGAAAAAGGAGCAAUCAAAAGUCCUUGAAGAGACAAGAAGAAUUUGGAUUUGAAAAUGAAGAAAGCUAUAGCCAGAUGAGGUCUCCUUCUCCACCAAACUGAAAGAAACUAAACGUGGAGGAGCAGUGGAGCAAACAAGAAAUAAAAUGGAAGAAAGAGCUUUAGUUUUAGAAAUUUG